rnacentral:rRNA from 1 species
GACGAACGCUGGCGGCGUGCUUAACACAUGCAAGUCGAACGGAAAGGCCCUGCUUGCAGGGUACUCGAGUGGCGAACGGGUGAGUAACACGUGGGUGAUCUGCCCUGCACUUCGGGAUAAGCCUGGGAAACUGGGUCUAAUACCGGAUAGGAGCCAUCUUUAGUGUGAUGGUUGGAAAGUUUUUUCGGUGUAGGAUGAGCUCGCGGCCUAUCAGCUUGUUGGUGGGGUAAUGGCCUACCAAGGCGGCGACGGGUAGCCGGCCUGGGAGGGUGGACGGCCACAUUGGGGCUGGGGUACGGCCCAGACUCCUACGGGAGGCAGCAGUGGGGAAUAUUGCACAAUGGGCGCAAGCCUGAUGCAGCGACGCCGCGUGGGGGAUGACGGCCUUCGGGUUGUAAACUCCUUUCGCUAGGGACGAAGCUUUUUGUGACGGUACCUAGAUAAGAAGCACCGGCUAACUACGUG